rnacentral:rRNA from 1 species
GAGAAGGGGGGCCAUGAUCGGUGAGCACUUUUGCGGUGGGAGCUGGUUGUGGUCGCAGAGAAUAGAGGGAAGCGACUGUUUACUAAAAACACAGGUCCGUGCGAAGACGUUGAAGUUGAUGUAUACGGACUGACGCCUGCCCGGUGCUGGAAGGUUAAGAGGACCGGUUAGCUGUUAAAGGCGAAGCUGAGAAUUUAAGCCCCAGUAAACGGCGGUGGUAACUAUAACCAUCCUAAGGUAGCGAAAUUCCUUGUCGGGUAAGUUCCGACCUGCACGAAUGGCGUAACGACUUCCCUGCUGUCUCAACCACAGGCCCGGUGAAAUUGCAGUACGAGUAAAGAUGCUCGUUACGCGCGGCAGGACGAAAAGACCCCGGGACCUUCACUAUAGCUUGGUAUUGGUGUUUGAUUCGGUUUGUGUAGGAUAGGUGGGAGACUGUGAUCAGGUGACGCUAGUUGUCUGUGAGUCGUUGGUGAAAUACCACUCUGAUCGGAUCGGAUAUCUAACCUUGGCCCAUGAUCUGGGUUGGGGACAGUGCCUGGUGGGUAGUUUAACUGGGGCGGUUGCCUCCCAAAAUGUAACGGAGGCGCCCAAAGGUUUCCUCAGCUUGGUUGGUAAUCAGGUGGUGAGUGUAAGUGCACAAGGGAGCUUGACUGUGGGAGUGACAGCUCGAGCAGGGACGAAAGUCGGGACUAGUGAUCCGGCACCAACUUGUGGUUGUGGUGUCGCUCAACGGAUAAAAGGUACCCCGGGGAUAACAGGCUGAUCUUCCCCAAGAGUCCAUAUCGACGGGAUGGUUUGGCACCUCGAUGUCGGCUCGUCGCAUCCUGGGGCUGGAGUAGGUCCCAAGGGUUGGGCUGUUCGCCCAUUAAAGCGGCACGCGAGCUGGGUUUAGAACGUCGUGAGACAGUUCGGUCUCUAUCCGCCGCGCGCGUUGAAACUUGAAGGAAGGCUGUCCCUAGUACGAGAGGACCGGGACGGACGUACCUCUGGUGUGCCAGUUGUUCCGCCAGGAGCAGGGCUGGUUGGCUACGUACGGAAGGGAUAACCGCUGAAAGCAUCUAAGCGGGAAGCCUGUUUCGAGAUGAGGUUUCUUUUGAGGUUCCCUAUAGAUUAUGGGGUUGAUAGGCCAGAUCUGGUAGCACUGUGAGGUGUGGAGGUGACUGGUACUAAUUUACCGAGACGAAAAAGAAA